UACGUAGGUGACAAGCGUUGUCCGGAUUUACUGGGCGUAAAGAGCGCGCAGGCGGUCGAUCAAGUCGAGUGUGAAAGCCCCCGGCUCAACUGGGGAGGGUCAUUCGAUACUGAUCGACUCGAAGGCAGGAGAGGGUAGUGGAAUUCCCGGUGUAGUGGUGAAAUGCGUAGAUAUCAGGAGGAACACCGGUGGCGAAGGCGGGUCUCUGGGCCGUAACUGACGCUGAGGAGCGAAAGCGUGGGGAGCGAACAGG
rnacentral:rRNA from 1 species